rnacentral:rRNA from 1 species
CAAUAGCGUAUAUUAAAGUUGUUGCGGUUAAAAAGCUCGUAGUUGGAUUUCUGCUGAGAACGACCGGUCCGCCCUUUGGGUGUGUAUCUGGCUCUUUCUUGGCAUCUUCUUGGUGAACGUUGCUGCACUUGACUGCGUGGAGCGCUACCCAGGACUUUUACUUUGAGGAAAUUAGAGUGUUUCAAGCAGGCAUACGCCUUGAAUACAUUAGCAUGGAAUAAUAAGAUAGGACCUCGGUUCUAUUUUGUUGGUUUCUAGAGCUGAGGUAAUGAUUAAUAGGGAUAGUUGGGGGCAUUCGUAUUUAACUGUCAGAGGUGAAAUUCUUAGAUCGGUCAAAGGCGAACUACUGCGAACGCAUUCGCCAAGAAUGUUUUCUUUA